GCGGUUGCCAAGGCCGCGGCUCAGCGCGGUGGCGGGCCCCGCUGCCGCCGUCCCGGCCCGCCGCCGCCACCUGCCCCGGGCCGGCGCGAUGGUGAAGCUCGCUGCCAAGUGCCUGCUGGCAGGAGAGCCAGCUGUGGGUAAGAGUGCUUUAGCCCAGAUGUUUCACAGUGAUGGGGCUCAUUUUCAGAAGAACUACACACUGACAACGGGCAUAGAACUGUUGGUGAAGGCUGUAUCAAUUCCAGAGACAAGUGAUAGUGUGGAAUUCUUCAUUUUUGACUCUGCAGGAAAAGAUCUAUUUUCUGAAAUGCUGGAGAAACURUGGGAGCAACCCAACGUCCUGUGCCUUGUGUAUGAUGUCACUAAUGAGCAAUCCUUUGACGGCUGUAACAAAUGGUUGGAGAAGCUAAGGGCUCAAGCAGCUGGGGUGCAUGUGCCUGGUGUCUUAGUAGGGAAUAAAACAGACUUAGCUAACCGUCGAGUUGUGGAGCAGAAACAAGCACAGGAGUGGGCUGAGCAACAUGGCCUGGAAUACUGUGAGAUGUCAGUGAAGGAAAUGAAAAAUUUUGAGGCCCCUUUCCACAUCCUGGCAAAAUUAUUCCACCAACUGUACAAAGAGAAAGUGGAAACUUUUCUCUCACUGGCAUGACUGGUAAAUGCAGAGGAAAGGAUGCUGCAAGUCUCUGGAUGGAGGUAUCUGAGGAGGUAGUGAAGGAGGUAAAGGAGCAUUAUUGGACAAUGUCAUGGAACUGGGAGGCUGCUGUACAUACAAACCUUAGCACAGCAUGGAAAGAGAAAGGGAGGCAAAACAGUUCACAUCCCAGCAACUCAUCAUGGCGGAAAAUCCAUCCUGGGAAUCUGAGUCUUCUCCAACUGUCUCUUCUAAGUAGAGAAGGAAGUAAUUCCUUUUUUGAAGAAGUCAUACCCCAGUGCUCAGGAGAGGACACUUUUUGUUUCCCAAUCAUCUUCAUUGAGCAAACAUUUCAAAGGUUACCAUUCAGUGGAAGAUAAGGAGUCUCACAUGGAGAGCACAGGAGUUGUAUCUUCAAGACUCAAUCUGAAACAGUUAUCUUGGGUAUCUGUGGGUACCCAAAUCAUUCAUAACAACACCCAGAUCCCUCUAAAAUUGGGGCAAACAUUUUCACUUUGGUGUGCUUUGUGAUAAUGUUCUGGACUUUUAAGUACCUCAGUGCCUCCACACACUAAUGAAUGUGUUACUUUUGAAGUGUUUAGCUUGGAAGAGGACAUAAGUCAGAAACUGAGGGAUUUCUGUUUGGCAGCCUUAUAACCUCAUACUUGGUGCCUGCCAGAGUUCCACACCACUCUGUCACAAGAGUACUUUUAUGCACUCACAGAGAAGCAUCCACACCCAUUUUGUAUAGAAACCUGCUCACUUUAAUUGAUAAACCUCCAUAUCCUGUAUCUCCCAUCUUCUUUCUCAUUUUCUAGUUGCAGUCUUGCUCUAGAGAUGGCUUUGUUGCAGUAUUGAAAGUCUGAUGUUUAAACUGUGCUGUUGAUCUUCAAGUUAUAUGGACCUGAGAUAUAUUUUGCCAGUUUCUCUGGCAAAAACCACAGAUCGUCUUUCCGUGGCUUGCUAGUUUGUUGAAUUGGUCAAAGAAAACCACCAGCAUGCAGAUAUGAUGCAAAUAAUGUUUCUUACGUUCUUUGGAACCCUCAGCUUUAGAUGUUGGUGAUGACUGCUCUGAUCACCCCAUCUGCUUUUCUAACAAUACAGAGUUAGUCCAGCAUGAAGGUAGCCUUUUUCUUCUCCAGUGAAAUAUCUUCCAUUUUAAUUCUCUUUCAACACUAGCUCUCAUUCCUCUCUUCCCUGCCCUGUUGCCUUCAUCACCCUAACUCCAGUUUUUUUUCCUAACAUCUCCUCUGCUGGUGCAUCUCCCUAUUAACACUUCUGCUCUGCCUGCAAAUGCAGCUGCAUCAACUCUAUCUUUUUUACAUCUCAUUACAACAGCUCCAUCUGAGCUGGCCUCCCCAGGAUGAAGAUUCCUAAAUCUAAUUUUUAUACACUAUCGCUGUUUGAUUUUAUCCUGUGUGCCAAAGAGCUCCUCUGCAGCACUCAAUCCACAAACACUAUUCAGUCUCAUUACCAUCCCAUGGAGUUGCUUCCGACUCUGUGCCCUUCAUCUCACUUCCUGCAUCUUUCUCGUGCCCCUUUUUUUCCUACAGCACUGCCCCUUCUCUCCACAAAUAGCAGCACUCUUGGUUUGCCAUUGGAAGCAGACUUCCUGUGGCUCCCUGUCUCAUCAGCUUCUCAUUUCAAGUAAUUUAAAAUGUAAUUUAAAAUCUCUCUAUUUCCUCCAGACUAUUAAUUUCUCUCUCCUUACUCUCCUUAUGGAUGUCAUUCUGKGUUGCGCUAUUCAGAAGAUGCGACUGUUGUAAAAACCUGCCACAGUGUUUUCAUUCUGUAUUCUUGUUUUGUAUUAUCAUUUUUAAUGAUUUUUUGUAGGAAAGAUGUAAUCUUGGCACAGCAUCUAACCACAGCAUAAGCAGUCACACAGGACAGUCUGGCAUUUGCAUUGCCUUUGUUCCAUUCUUCUCCUGUGUCAUUUAGAACUGUAGAGGGAUUAUUGUGAAUGGUCUAAGAGUAUAUAAGUAGGGUAGCAGGAAGAGAAUUAUUUCUGGAAAUUGGGAAAUGUGAGGCAGGAAGCCAUGUUUAGUCCUGAUCUGGAGAUAUGCUGAGCUCUUAYAAGUCUCACUCCUCUGAGCCAGAGAUUAAAGAAACUGCCACCCUGCAAGCCUAGCCUUCUCACACUGGCAAUUUCUUUGGGGAGAAUGUGCCCCUCUCUUGUUGCUGUAAUACACUAUUUGGGAGCAUAGAGUAACUGAGGAGCCAACCUUCCUUGGAAGUAUGAACUCCAUGGAUUUCCAGAGUGGUUUUCCUGUCCACAUAUGAGAUGUUUGUGCCUGUUGGAUUUAAGUGCAAGAAUAGCCAAAUGGAGUUUCUUUCUUCUUCAGAAUCUUUCAGGCUUUCUAUCUUCCUUUGAAGAAUGAGAAGAUUUGAAUAUUGGGGUGGGAUUGGAAAGGAGCAACCAACAACACAAAAAGAAAAUGCUUAGAGUUCCAAUAAUUACCUAUUCUUUCCCUUUUGCCUUCCCUUUUCAAGGCCUCUUCCUCUUUCAGUUGAAAUAUAAGGGGAGCAGAGGCCCUUGGGUGWUCUUCUCUAGCUUUUCCAACUAAGAGCUUCAUGGAGCCUCGUCCUCAAUGCAGGCCAUCCCUGUAGAGCCAUAAUCUCCCACCAGAUUAGGGGUGUUCUCCACAUCUCUCUGCCUCUCAAAUUUCUUUGCACUGAGGACAAAAGUUCAGAGAGCCUGUCCACAAACCACUACCUUUCAAAUUCUUGCAGCAGGGUGUACUCAGAGUACUAUAAAUGCAGAGUACAAGAUGCACCUGCCCCCUUGUUCAGUCCCAGGUUUCAGCAGCUCCGAAGAUACAGAAAGAACUCCCCCAGCUCCUAUGGCAGAGGGCAAGGCUAGAAUUCCCCCAGCUGAACAAGGUACUGUGUGCACAAAAAAUAUUUCAGUGGUCUCAACCUGCACUGUCUCCUACCACCCCUCCCUUUUUUGGCCUUAUCCAGGGCCUUUUCUGUCUGCUGGUUGUGAUUUGCAUAUGGCUCAUGCCAGACACCAUGAGUGCUUGCUGGUAAACACCUCCACCUCAGUCGCAGCUGUGAGGGCAGCCUGGAUUGUGCUCUCCAAAUGGGAGAAAUGACUGAGGUUCUGUGGGGCAGCCRGUGGCCCCCUGACUGCUUGUUUUGGAGUCCUUCAUGUCCAUUAGUCCUGGGACAGAUGGUCCUGGAAGGGCAGUCCCAGUCUGGGGAAGGGAGAGGGAGCGGAGAGAAGAGAUGACUGGAGAUAUGAAAUUGCAGCAUGGCUGAAGCCCUCCAACUGGUUCAACUUCCCAGCACCCACUUCCCCCAGCCCUGCUCCCCCGCACAGAACAGCAGUGAACCUAAGCAGAUCUUCUGGUCUCAUUUUUCACUGAACAAUGCAUCUGAUCAGAGGGAAACGAAAUCGGUAGCAUCAAGAAUUAGAUUAUUUCUUUUCUUCAUGAUUGUUGCAUUAAUGAGCAGCUACAUGUAUAGAACCAGGAGGUGACUAAUGUAAUUAACCUGGUGUAAUGAUACUGCUGAGGAAGAGAGAGAGGAUUAUGACAUACUUAGAUGUCAGUAUUGCACAAUUUUGUAUGUGUUCCCUGUACUAUCAGGUUGUGUCUGACACAGAAAACUUAAGCAGUGAUAGAUUUCAGUCUGCAUCCAUUCAGCUCAUGCAUCUUUCUGUGUAAAAUGAGGAUGUGAAAGGUGGAUUGCUUUCCCAGGGUUGAGGGGGUGGAGGUAUUCAAUUUAGGUGGUUCCUUUCCUUAACAAAAUUAUACUAAUUAUCAUAAAUCGUCCUUUCUCAUGAAGAAUCUUCCCAAAAUGUCUGCUUCUUGGGGGAGGCAUAGGAUUUCACCGAAAGCUCUAAAGACCAAGUGAGAGCACGGGGAUCCACACAACACUGGUCAGUUAAGGGGAGGCAGAGGGAUGGAAAACGACCAACACAAAAACAUAUGCAACUUGCAGCAAACCCGAGAAUAGUGAAGAGCAAACACUUAAAAAUCAUAACAACAGCAGUAAGAGCAGAAAUACAUGCUUGUUUUUAAAUUAUCCUUCCACGUUACAUUUCACCUGCCUCCUGGGGAGAGAAACGGCUGACUGAAGUUUUGUGCUGGUUUAACUGCGGUGUGCGGGUCGCACUCGCAGCUCCGGGCACCUCCGGCGGGGUUGCGACGGAGGCUGAGCUGGGGAGCGGUGGUGGGGGAAAAAAGGCGGUAAGCGAGGGAGAGCCCCAGCGCCGUCUUCCCCUGUGCUCCGCGGCGGCCCCG